rnacentral:rRNA from 1 species
GAUGAACGCUGGCGGCGUGCCUAAUACAUGCAAGUCGAGCGAAGCGGGGACGGGCGAGUAACACGUGGAUAACCUCCUAUAAGACUGGGAUAACUUCGGGAAACCGGAGCUAAUCCGGAUACUUAGAGAUGGAUCCGCGCUGCAUUAGCUAGUUUGUAAGCUAACGGCUUACCAAGGCAACGAUGCAUAGCUGACCUGAGAGGGUGACGGGCCACACGUGAACUGAGACACGGUCCAGAAUCCGACGGGAGGCAGCAGUAGGGAAUCUUCACCAAUGGGCGAAAGCCUGACGAAGCAACGCCGCGUGAGUGAGGAAGGUCUUCGGAUCGUAAAACUCUGUUAUCCGGGAUGCGGUACCUAAUCAGAAAGCCACGGCUAACUACGCGCCAGCAGCCGCGGUAAUAC